UACAGAGGUCCCGAGCGUUGUUCGGAUUCAUUGGGCGUAAAGGGUGCGCAGGCGGCCGUGUGUGUGAGGCGUGAAGCCCGGGCUUAACCCCGGAAUUGCACCUCAAACUACAUGGCUAGAGCAUUGGAGAGGGUAGCGGAAUUCACGGUGUAGCAGUGAAAUGCGUAGAUAUCGUGAGGAACACCAGAGGCGAAGGCGGCUACCUGGACAAUUGCUGACGCUCAGGCACGAAAGCGUGGGGAGCAAAAGGG
rnacentral:rRNA from 1 species